rnacentral:rRNA from 1 species
GGGGCUCGCAAGACCUCGCGCGUUUGGAGCGGCCGAUAUCUGAUUAGCUAGAUGGUGGGGUAAAGGCUCACCAUGGCGACGAUCAGUAGCUGGUCUGAGAGGAUGAUCAGCCACACUGGAACUGAGACACGGUCCAGACUCCUACGGGAGGCAGCAGUGGGGAAUUUUGGACAAUGGGGGAAACCCUGAUCCAGCCAUUCCGCGUGAGUGAAGAAGGCCUUCGGGUUGUAAAGCUCUUUCGGCAGGAACGAAACGGUGGACCCUAAUACGGUCCAUUACUGACGGUACCUGAAGAAGAAGCACCGGCUAACUACGUGCCAGCAGCCGCGGUAAUACGUAGGGUGCGAGCGUUAAUCGGAAUUACUGGGCGUAAAGCGUGCGCAGGCGGUGAUCCAAGUCAGAUGUGAAAUCCCCGGGCUUAACCUGGGAACUGCAUUUGAAACUAGGUCGCUAGAGUAUGGCAAAAGGGGGUAGAAUUCCACGUGUAGCAGUGGAAAUGC